AAAUCAAUUUCUCUUCAAACUUUUUCUCAGAUAAAUUGUCACUGCUUCACUGAACCCUAAACCAACUUUGCAAAUACCUCACUCAUUGAACCCUAAAUCAAAUUUUCCACACCACCGCUUCACCUCUCUCUCGUACAACUCUUCUCUUCUUCUCCACGGGACACCGAACAUCUCUUCUCUCCCUCUCUCUAUGAGUUCCAAAUCGUCCAAUAAUACUGUGUUGCUGAGGUUUUUCAUCAUCAAAUCGUCCAAACCCACGGCUCCUCGAUUCAAAUCAGUUUCAACAAAGCUCCUUUUCUUCAAAGGUAUUAUUUCCGAAUUCAUACCUAUAACUUCUUUUAUCAUCUCAACAUCACUAUUUCAUUCACAAAUUCAUACCUAUAACUUCACAGGUAAUCGAGUUUUCUUAAUUGGUUGAAUUGAGAUUUCGAAUAAUUGAAUUGAACUCCCACUGAAAUUGAUUUUUUUAUUUAUUUAUUUUAGUAUCUAAAAUGGCCUUUAGAGGUGAAUUUGUGUAAUAAUAAUAGCAGUAUUUGAAAAUACCCUCAUUGUUUUUUUUUUUUUGUAAAUUAUAAUUAUGAUAAACACAGUGUAAGUCUGUAAGUGCUUGGUAGAAUUGGAACUUGAAAUGAAAGAAUCAGGGUUUUUGGUGUAAGUUGUUGACAUGUUUAGGGGGAAUGUAUAAGUUUUCAAAUGUCGACUCAUAUCUCAAUGCGUUUAAGAAGGAAAUGUUAUAAAGUAAUGCAUGUUUGUAGUGUCAACAACUGGGGGACAAAAGAGUAUGAAUAAGUAGAGGUUGCCAAGCUGAGGAAGCAGAGAGUUUUUCUGUUGUUUAUAGCAAUGAGCAGAGAAUUAAAGAAAAUUAUAAUAUUGUUGUUAUGAUUUGUAGGUGUUGAUUUCAAGAUCAAAAGACUCACCGCGUAGGUGGAAAAAGAUUAAAACUUACAAUUUGGGACACAAGUAUGUAUAUACUAUAGUCAGAUUAGAUCUUUCGGUUCAAGAAGAAAAACCAAACUGAACCAUUAGAAUAGUUCGGUAAAACUGAAUCAAUUUGUUAACGGUUAUCCCAAACUGAACUGGUAUAAAGGUUCGGUGCAUCGAUUUUGUGGUUCCAAACCAAACUCCCUUUUUAGAAAAUCGAAUCGUAUUUUUUUCAAAUUGAACUGCUUCUUUGUGAACUGAAUUGAAUUGUUCAUGAACUUAACCAAACCGAAUCGUUUCAGUUCGCUCCAAUUUGUGAACUGUCAGUCACAAUUCAGUUUAUAUGUUUUUAUAACAGUACUGACCUACCAGGUAACAAUGUAAAGAUAGAGGGAAUUAUUGAACAAGUAAUUUGAGUCCCAGUCACACAUUGAAGUUCAUUGAACAAGUAAUUUAUACACAAGAGGGAAUUAUUGUACAAAUAUAUACAAUAAGAAGUUCUCUUACAAAGGUUUGUCUAAUAUUUGUCUCGAUCAAUUAAAAUUUCGUAGAUAGAGUACCAAAUGUUCAUAUUUUUUUGCUCAAAUUUCACGUAUUUCAUGCUCUUGAAUUUAAUAUAAUCAAUCUAGGUACUCAAUUGCUUUGCUCUUUGCAUAGAUUUUUGCAGGUAGAUUGUAUGUUUGAAAUAUCAAUUGACUAAUGGAGAUAGCAUCACUCAUGUAUCGAGUAGGUCUAUAGACUAUAGGUGUAUCAAUUAGCUUAUUUUAUGUUUAUUAAGUUUCUAGUUUUUUAUUUGAAUGAUUAUUUUUGUGUGUAUUGUGUUUAUCCAUUUCAGUUUUAUCUUCUUCAUGAUUUGAUUGAUUCUUCAUGGUUUUUACGAUAUUUGGUGUACUUGAAGAAAGGGAAGUUCGGCUGGAACCUCAAAUCAUACAUCGUGCCAUAUUAGUCAUGAUGAAGUUUUGUAAAAGUCUUCGGAAUCAAGCAUUGUUGUAAGCACUUUUAAGCAGGACGAAGGCCUCGAGUUAACAUUAUGAUGUGGACAUUGCAGCAAGGAGGAAGUGGACGGAACUGAAUGGCACUCCCCCCGCUCCUUCAGAUUUGUUUGUUCACACACACCAACAUCGCAAGAAUAAACUUGAGUGUGGCAGAUGAUAAUGAUGUAUGUCUGAUGAUGAUGAUCAAGUUCAUGAAAAUGAUGUGGCAGAUGAUAAAUUGAUGAUGAUGAU